ACGCUCGACACCUACAGGAGGCAGCAGUGGGGAAUAUUGCACAAUGGGGGAAACCCUGAUGCAGCGACGCCGCGUGAGCGAAGAAGUAUCUCGGUAUGUAAAGCUCUAUCAGCAGGGAAGAAGAUGACGGUACCUGACUAAGAAGCACCGGCUAAAUACGUGCUAGCAGCCGCGGUAAUCUGAGCGGGCUGGCAAGGC
rnacentral:rRNA from 1 species